UACGUAGGGUCCAAGCGUUAUCCGGAAUCACUGGGCGUAAAGCGUGCGUAGGCGGAAGUUUAAGUGCAAUGUUAAAUCGUGUGGCUCAACCAUAUCGAUGCAUCGCAUACUGGGCUUCUAGAGGACGGCAGAGGCAAGUGGAAUUGGUAGUGUAGCAGUGAAAUGCGUAGAUAUUACCAGGAACACCAAUGGCGAAGGCAGCUUGCUGGGCCGCCCCUGACGCUGAGGCACGAAAGCGUGGGGAGCGAACAGG
rnacentral:rRNA from 1 species